AUGGAAACCCAGUUAUGUCAUAUGAUGUUCUGAUGUGGCAGACAGGUGAAAGGAUGUUUUGCUGAAGCAGACACAUGAGAGGAUGUCUGACAUUUAGGAAGAAUAUAAAUACCACCCCACAGACAGUGGGAGGAGGCUCUGGCCUUGGUUCACCUUGCAUCGAGUUGCUGCUUUUAAUUUGCCCUGACUUCGUACAGGGAACUCGCCAAAGAACUUCUUGUGAUAUUCCGGUGGCUUCUCGCUGCUUCUACAGACUUGAGCUGAUUAACAGAGCCUCAUAGUUUCUUCUGGAACAAACUGCCGUUGCUGAUUCUGUGAGUGGUGAUUGCUGAAUGCACUGGACUGCCACUGUUGAUUUGUGUUGGUGUUUUGCUAGAGGACUGGACUGCUGACAACAAAGAUUGGAAUAGCCCCAAAGAACAAUUUCCAAACAGAUCUGCAACGGGGAAAAGGAGAUCUCGUGAUGUUGGCAGGGAUGGCCGUGCAGAUUGUGUCAGGUAUCCAGAGACAUUUAUCAACACCAGUCUUCCAGCACUAGACAUCUUUCCACGGUUUCCAGGCCUUUUACCAAAUGCCCCUGACCACAACACCUAGCGUCUUCGCUGUGCCCCUGACUUCAGUGGUGCCUCUGAUGACCGGCAAUGUGAAUGACUCUCCCUCCCGGCUGUGUGAACAUCGCACACGGAUGGUGGCCUGGAUGUCAUUUACACCUAUUGUCACAAAAAAAAAUUUUUAAAGUCACACUCAAUUUCUGGUGAUAAGAAAAGAAUGCGGGACAAAUUCACCCAGAACUGGUCGAGUAGGUUUAGAAUGUGUCAACAGCGUCCUUGUACUUCACGUUAGCUCCUUGGCCUCUAUGGAAUAUGCUAGACCCACUUCUUGGCUUCACUCUCCAGGCAAGGCCACAGCCUACCCCUCUGAGGACCCCAGGGCCCUGUGCAGGGUUGUACUCAUAUAGGUUUGAUGGACAUGUGGUAAACGUAUCUGUGAUCCCAUCUCAUGUGACCAGCCUCAGUCUGCAGAUCUCAAUGGCCUCAGGUUUGUGGAUGGUGGAGGUGCCACACCUCAGGGUGAAGUCAAGUUUCCCAGCCUCUGACUGGUAGCAUCCUCUAAGUAGGCACCACUGUGUUCCCGUUGAGUUCCAGGCACUGCUCACCAGGGUCAGAAUCCUGAUCUCCACCUAGGAAAUCCUAAUUGAUUUCAGCACCCUGAAGAAGGCAUGAGACCUGAGGCCGUUCCAAAAAGAGGCUAUCUAAGAGGAAGA